rnacentral:lncRNA from 1 species
GGCAACCCAGGAACGUGAUGGGACCUCUGCUACUUAAAUUGCUUUUACAAGGUGUUCUACUGUUUGAUACUUUGGCAUGGUAUGUGAGUAUGCCAUCAGAAAUUUAUGGCCUCCAAGGUUCCUGUCUGGUCAUACCAUGUUCUUUCUACUACACAUCAUACCCACCCAAAGACCCACGUAGAGUUGUGUGGUAUCAGUGGGUCUCUAGAGGUUAUCCUUUAGUUUAUGAUCCAUGGUAUCCAAAUCAUGUCAUUGAGAAGUUCAGAUGGAAAACUGAUUUAUAUGGUGAUCCAUCAAGUAGGGAUUGCAGUCUGUUGAUUAAAAACCUGGAACUGUCCCACCAUGGAGAGAAAUUAUAUGCAUGGAUUGACCCUGAAAAUGUUGGAUGGCGCACCUACGCAUUUUAUGACGUCACCUCAACUAUUGUUGUUCACACACAGCCACAGCAGCCCAGCAUUUAUAUUUAUGGAGGUGAAAGGACGGGGGACACAGUCACAGUAGCAUGUUCAGCUUUCCACACGUGUCCAUACAGCAAACCAACAAUAACUCUGAAUGGUGUAGAAGGAUCUGACGAAAUCAGGGAUGAGUCUAUUAAAAACAAUCUGUGGAAAAUCACUCUGACACGCACAGGUGUCAUAAUGACAGAGCGCUCAACUAUUAAGUGUUCAGUAACACAUUAUGGUGGGAUAACAGUGACAGCUACAAAGGACAAAAGUGCAGAAUGUGCUCAUCAUAAAAUAUUGAUUGAGCCUGGACUGGCAGAUGUCACAGAGGGCGUCGCAAAGAACUUUAACUGUAGUGUCUACCAUUCCUGCCAGAAAGAGGAUCCAACCAUCACAUGGAACUAUGAAAACAUGCAGGUCACAAAGGGGGAACAAAAAAACCCUCUGGUUUAA